CUUCGAUCCCCUCGAUCCCUUAUGCCCUGGUGGCCGUGAGGUGACUCUGAUCCUCUGCUCCCUUCGCCUCGUGUCCCUUUGAAAAGCGAAAAACGUCUGAUCCCCUCGAUCCCUUCGAUCCCCUCGAUCCCUUCGAUCCCCUCGAUCCCUUAUGCCCUGGUGGCCAUGAGGUGACUCUGAUCCUCUGCUCCCUUCGCCUCGUGUCCCUUUGAAAAGCGAAAAACGUCCGAUCCCCUCGAUCCCUUCGAUCCCCUCGAUCCCUUAUGCCCUGGUGGCCAUGAGGUGACUCUGAUCCUCUGCUCCCUUCGCCUCGUG